UACGUAGGGUGCGAGCGUUGUCCGGAAUUAUUGGGCGUAAAGGGCUCGUAGGCGGUUUGUCGCGUCGGGAGUGAAAACUCAGGGCUUAACCCUGAGCCUGCUCCCGAUACGGGCAGACUAGAGGUAUGCAGGGGAGAACGGAAUUCCUGGUGUAGCGGUGAAAUGCGCAGAUAUCAGGAGGAACACCGGUGGCGAAGGCGGUUCUCUGGGCCGAUACUGACGCUGAGGAGCGAAAGCGUGGGGAGCGAACAGG
rnacentral:rRNA from 1 species